rnacentral:rRNA from 1 species
GAGUUUGAUCAUGGCUCAGGAUGCACGCUGGCGGCGUGCUUAACACAUGCAAGUCGAACGAAGCGCCUUAUUUGAUUUUCUUCGGAACUGAAGAUUUGGUGACUGAGUGGCGGACGGGUGAGUAACGCGUGGGGUAACCUGCCCUGUACAGGGGGAUAACAAUCAGAAAUGACUGCUAAUACCGCAUAAGACCACAGCACCGCAUGGUGCAGGGGUAAAAACUCCGGUGGUACAGGAUGGACCCGCGUCUGAUUAGCUGGUUGGUGAGGUAACGGCUCACCAAGGCGACGACCAGUAGCCGGCUUGAGAGAGUGAACGGCCACAUUGGGACUGAGACACGGCCCAAACUCCUACGGGAGGCAGCAGUGGGGAAUAUUGCACAAUGGGGGAAACCCUGAUGCAGCAACGCCGCGUGAGUGAAGAAGUAUUUCGGUAUGUAAAGCUCUACCAGCAGGGAAGAAAGUGACGGUACCUGACUAAGAAGCCCCGGCUAACUACGUGCCAGCCGCCGCCGUAAU